UACGGGGGGGGCAAGCGUUGUUCGGAAUUACUGGGCGUAAAGGGCUCGUAGGCGGCCAACUAAGUCGGAUGUGAAAUCCCCAGGCUUAACCUGGGAACUGCAUCCGAUACUGGAUGGCUCGAGUCCGGAAGAGGAGUGUGGAAUUCCUGGUGUAGCGGUGAAAUGCGCAGAUAUCAGGAGGAACACCAAUGGCGAAGGCAGCACUCUGGGACGUGACUGACGCUGAGACGCGAAAGCGUGGGGAGCAAACAGG
rnacentral:rRNA from 1 species